CACGUAGGGUGCGAGCGUUGUCCGGAAUUAUUGGGCGUAAAGAGCUCGUAGGCGGUGUGUCGCGUCGGCCGUAAAAACCUGCAGCUUAACUGUGGGCUUGCGGUCGAUACGGGCAUCACUGGAGUUCGGCAGGGGAGACUGGAAUUCCUGGUGUAGCGGUGAAAUGCGCAGAUAUCAGGAGGAACACCGGUGGCGGAAGGCGGGUCUCUGG
rnacentral:rRNA from 1 species